UAGAGUUUGAUCCUGGCUCAGAUUGAACGCUGGCGGCAUGCCUUACACAUGCAAGUCGAACGGCAGCAUGACGUGUAGCAAUACACGUUGAUGGCGAGUGGCGAACGGGUGAGUAACAUAUCGGAACAUGUCCUGUAGCGGGGGAUAGCCCGGCGAAAGCCGGAUUAAUACCGCAUACGCUCUACGGAGGAAAGCGGGGGUCGCAAGACCUCGCACUAUAGGAGUGGCCGAUAUCGGAUUAGCUAGUUGGCGGGGUAAAAGCCCACCAAGGCGACGAUCCGUAGCUGGUCUGAGAGGAUGAUCAGCCACACUGGAACUGAGACACGGUCCAGACUCCUACGGGAGGCAGCAGUGGGGAAUUUUGGACAAUGGGCGCAAGCCUGAUCCAGCCAUGCCGCGUGAGUGAAGAAGGCCUUCGGGUUGUAAAGCUCUUUCGGCAGGAACGAAAUGGUUCGUGCUAAUACCACGGACUGAUGACGGUACCUGAAGAAGAAGCACCGGCUAACUACGUGCCAGCAGCCCCGGUCAA
rnacentral:rRNA from 1 species